CUCAAUACCAUGCAAUGUUAAUGCCACUGGGACCACUACAAGUGCUGUUCUGGACACAGAAGACAAGAAAGACAAUAUAUAUGAAAAACAUGGAAUUUUAUAUUUAAAGGGAAGCUGUAAAGAUAAAAUUUAGGAUGAAUAUUUAAGAUUAAAAAAGGGAUGGGGGAUUUUACAAAACCUAAAUCAUCAGAAAUCUUCCCAUUUAUUUUUUUAAUUCCAAUGAAAACUGUUCUCAAUCUCUGCACAAAAUUCACUGAAGCACACAGAAAUUAUACCUGAUUACCCUAUAGCUGAAUUUGGCCUCUUGUAUUUAUAAGGCAACUUUUCUUAUUUCGCCAAUGGAACAUCUGAUACUAAGUUCUCAAACUUAUGGCACUAUCAUAAAUGUCUAAUUGUUUUAUAGUCGGACAGUGUCAGCAACUUUGCAAUUUAACUUCUAUAUCUGCAUUCACACACAAAUAUUAUGGGGCAAUUUUUGUAUUCUAUUGUUUAUAAAGCUGUUCUACCUCCAUAGAACAUGCCUUUUACAAAUUCUUAUUCUUCUUAAUACGGUACUUGAUCAAAUUUUAGAAAAAAAGAAUAUGACUCAAAAAAUUUUUAAAAAGCAACAAAACACUGAGCUCAUACCUUGGGCGUGCUUCCUUUAAUAAAUUUUUUGAUUGAUGACAACAGACCGGUUUCAUUCUUCUGUGGUUUUCCUCCUCCGACAGGUAAACAAACAAUGUUCAUCGAACAUCAAAGGAGUGGAGUCUUCAUUCUUCUGCAGAAGAAUGUGGUUUCAGGAAGAACACAGAUAAGUGAAGUCGAUGCGGACACUAAGGGUUCUGACCUGGACCAUGUGCGACGAGAAGGAACUGGAGAAGCGAACGGUCUGCCUUUCCCUUUACCCCUCCAGCGGAGGCAUGAGAUGAGCCAGGCUCACAUGUGGACCAACCAUCACUACUUUCAAAAUUUCUGGCUCCAGGCUGAUGCUGCACAUGCAUAACCCACAGUGGAAUAUAAUAGGAACAAUCACUUGAAAAAGAACAUGAAAUUAUUUAAAAAAUUUUACAUUUAAAACCUUUUACAGUUUCAAAAUAACAGCAUUUACUAAUAUAAUUUGUGUCCUAUCUUUUCUUCUUCAUGAUCUGAGGCUGCUAAAUUCAUUUUUUGUGUAAUCUAUAGCAGGGGCACUUUAACAGGGUAGUUCACCCCUUGAAUGAAAUCAGGCCCAGUUCUCCUGUUUCAGUCCAAGUGUGUCCUCGUUUGAAAAAAAUGAGAAGGGUGGGGCUGCCUCAGGAGUUGUUAUAAAUAAAAGACAGACCAAAGCCAAAAUGGUGUUCAGAACCCUGAGUCCAGAGAGAGCUUAGAGGAAGAGCAGAGCUGGGUUGACAGCUUCAGGAAGGGGGACGCCCCUGAAGGAAGGGUUAGUGAGAUGGCCUAGUUGAGUAGUUGAGUCAAAUCAGGCUACUGAAAGCAGAAGGCAAGACAGCUGAAUGGGGGAGGGGGAAUUACCUACAAACUUCCCCAGGCUAGAGAGCCAUGGCCAGAAAGGGGUAGAGAGAGUUGAAGGCUGAGAGCAGCAGAUGGAGAUGCCUGGCAGAGAGCUGGGGCCAAAGAGGGUUGCAGGCCAGGGAACGAAGGAGAGGUGAGCCCACUGAUGUCUCCAGACAAGAGCUGGAAUUGUAUCUCAGCUUGGGUAACGUGGUCCCUGAAAGGUGGAGCUUGGCGAGGGAUGCUCAAGCUGUACAAGAGAGCUGCAGACUGUUGUGAAAGAUGCUGGAGUUGUACUUGGAUUGCUGAUGAAUGGCUGGGAACUGUUGAAAGUGAUGUACUUUUGGAUUGUGCUGGGGGUUCUGGACUAUGGUUGUGGGACUUUUGUAAUAAAUUAACCCUGCAAAGGCCAAUUUAUAUACUAAGCUGUAUGGAGUUACUGGGAACCACUGAAGGGGAAACGGAGGCAGGCACACUGGGCAUGCCACAGUCUGACACAGAAGGGCAACCCAAGUAGAACCCCUCUUUAUCACAUAUGGUGGGAAAAUGUGGACAGGAGAUCAGCCCCUGAAAAGCAGUGACACCAGAAGAGGGAAAACGAAGCAAGAGCUGCUUGCAGGGCUACCCUGAUAUCAUUAGGGAGUGCACUGGAGGUGGCCGUCCUGACAGCCACCUAGAACCCUAGUUAGGGGCUUAUAUACAAAUCUAAAGGAACUGUAUUCUAUAAAAUGGAAGAAAUUGACAAAUAUUUACUGGUAGU